rnacentral:misc_RNA from 1 species
AGAAACUCAAAUAACCUGCAAUCAACAAAGAGUUUUUAUACUGUCAGGACCGUGGAAAGGUAUGCAUUAAGCUUUGAAAAAUACUGUUGCCCUAAAAAAUAGCACAAGAUACCAAAAGCACUAUCAAGGACCAGAAUUCAGAGAUGACUCAUUUCGUUCGUUUAAAAAUUUCUGAUUCAGCACAUGCUUUACCAUGAAUACUGAAGCACUAUAUAUGGACCUAAUCUGUGAUCUAGCUAACAGAAAGCAU